rnacentral:rRNA from 1 species
AGUCCAGACUCCUACGGGAGGCAGCAGUGGGGAAUAUUGCACAAUGGGGGAAACCCUGAUGCAGCGACGCCGCGUGAGUGAAGAAGUAUUUCGGUAUGUAAAGCUCUAUCAGCAGGGAAGAAAAUGACGGUACCUGACUAAGAAGCCCCGGCUAACUACGUGCCAGCAGCCGCGGUAAUACGUAGGGGGCGAGCGUUAUCCGGAUUCACUGGGUGUAAAGGGAGCGUAGACGGCCAAGCAAGCCAGGGGUGAAAGCCCGGGGCCCAACCCCGGGACUGCCCUUGGAACUGCAUGGCUGGAGUGCGGGAGGGGCAGGCGGAAUUCCUGGUGUAGCGGUGAAAUGCGUAGAUAUAAGGAGGAACACCAGUGGCGAAGGCGGUCUGCUGGACAGCAACUGACGGUGAGGCGCGAAAGCGUGGGGAGCAAACAGGAUUAGAUACCCCAGUAC